GCACAUCCCCAAGUCUUUGAUGUAAAGAGAACAUCUUCCUUUCCUUGUUCUAAAGGAUAGCUUGACUGUUUGUGUGUGUCUGUGUUAGAGUUAAGUGUGAUCAUGGUCAGUCAAAGAGAAUGUUUUAAGUCUUUGCCUAAGCAUGAAGCAAAUAAAGAUAAUUUCUAUGUUUUUACAAUGAGAAUGCCUUCUUAUGUUUCGGAACCAUGUGGAUUUAAUUUCUACCUUUUACUCUACAUAGGAAAGCUUGAACUUGUGUGAUGCUUCUUGCACAAGUUUCCAAGUUUCCAGAUCCUGGCAGCCAAGCUGAGCCGCGACUCCCGAGUAGACCCGGAUUAAGUCUACUUCCUUGCCUAGCUCCUGAACCAAGUUUUGCCUCAGUUUCAUCACGUUCCUGCCUGGAUAUCAAAGACUCCCUAGUGACUUUGGACCUUGUUACUUCAGUCUUGCUUCCUUGUUUUUCCCCGCUCAAGAACUUUCCAACAGUUUUGAGCGUGUUUUGGUUUCUGGACUGUGGACAAUAAUAUUGGACAUUUCCCUUCAAUUCUUUGGACUAAUUCAUACCUUUUCAUAAAGGACUAUUAUCUGCUCAACCUUUCCACCUAUUCAUUCCUGGAUUUAUAAUUGUUUUAAUAAAGAUAUUAUAUGUUUA